rnacentral:rRNA from 1 species
AGAGUUUGAUCCUGGCUCAGGACGAACGCUGGCGGCGUGCUUAACACAUGCAAGUCGAACGGUGACCUCAAGAGCUUGCUCUUGGGUGAUCAGUGGCGAACGGGUGAGUAACACGUGAGUAACCUGCCCCUGACUCUGGAAUAACCCCGGGAAACCGGGGCUAAUACCGGAUAUGAAAUGGAUCCGCAUGGGUUUGUUUGGAAAGUUUUUCGGUUGGGGAUGGACUCGCGGCCUAUCAGCUUGUUGGUGAGGUAAUGGCUCACCAAGGCGACGACGGGUAGCCGGCCUGAGAGGGCGACCGGCCACACUGGGACUGAGACACGGCCCAGACUCCUACGGGAGGCAGCAGUGGGGAAUAUUGCACAAUGGGCGAAAGCCUGAUGCAGCGACGCCGCGUGAGGGAUGACGGCCUUCGGGUUGUAAACCUCUUUCAGCAGGGAAGAAGCGAAAGUGACGGUACCUGCAGAAGAAGCACCGGCUAACUACGUGCCAGCAGCCGCGGUAAUACGUAGGGUGCGAGCGUUGUCCGGAAUUAUUGGGCGUAAAGAGCUUGUAGGCGGUUUGUCGCGUCUGCUGUGAAAAUCCGGGGCUCAACCCCGGACUUGCAGUGGGUACGGGCAGACUAGAGUGUGGUAGGGGAGACUGGAAUUCCUGGUGUAGCGGUGAAAUGCGCAGAUAUCAGGAGGAACACCGAUGGCGAAGGCAGGUCUCUGGGCCACUACUGACGCUGAGAAGCGAAAGCAUGGGGAGCGAACAGGAUUAGAUACCCUGGUAGUCC